GAUGAACGCUGGCGGCGUGCCUAAUACAUGCAAGUCGAGCGAACGGACGAGAAGCUUGCUUCUCUGAUGUUAGCGGCGGACGGGUGAGUAACACGUGGAUAACCUACCUAUAAGACUGGGAUAACUUCGGGAAACCGGAGCUAAUACCGGAUGAUAUUUUGAACCGCAUGGUUCAAAAGUGAAAGACGGUCUUGCUGUCACUUAUAGAUGGAUCCGCGCUGCAUUAGCUAGUUGGUAAGGUAACGGCUUACCAAGGCAACGAUGCAUAGCCGACCUGAGAGGGGGAUCGGCCACACUGGAACUGAGACACGGUCCAGACGCAUACGGGAGGCAGCAGUAGGGAAUCUUCCGCAAUGGGCGAAAGCCUGACGGAGCAACGCCGCGUGAAUGAUGAAGGUAUUAGGAUCGUAAAACUCUGUUAUUAGGGAAGAACAUAUGUGCAAGUAACUGUGCACAUCUUGAAGGUACCUAAUCAGAAAGCCACGGCUAACUACGUG
rnacentral:rRNA from 1 species